rnacentral:rRNA from 1 species
UACGGAGGGUGCAAGCGUUAAUCGGAAUUACUGGGCGUAAAGCGUGCGUAGGUGGUUCGUUAAGUCCGUUGUGAAAGCCCCGAGCUCAACUUGGGAAUUGCAGUGGAUACUGGUGAGCUAGAGUGCGGUAGAGGAAGGUGGAAUUCCCGGUGUAGCGGUGAAAUGCGUAGAGAUCGGGAGGAACACCAGUGGCGAAGGCGGCCUUCUGGACCAGCACUGACACUCAAGCACGAAAGCGUGGGGAGCAAACAGG